AAAGCAGGGCUUGCUCCAAAGCCCACUGAAGUCUAUGGGAAUCUUUCCAUUGACUUCAUUAGGUUUUGGAUCAGGCCCUGAACAAU
rnacentral:pre_miRNA from 1 species